rnacentral:rRNA from 1 species
UACGGAGGGUGCAAACGUUGCUCGGAAUCAUUGGGCGUAAAGCGCACGUAGGCGGUUAGUUAAGUCGGAUGUGAAAGCCCUGGGCUCAACCCAGGAAGUGCAUACGAAACUGGCUGACUUGAAUAUGGAAGAGGGUCGCGGAAUUCCCGGUGUAGAGGUGAAAUUCGUAGAUAUCGGGAGGAACACCAGUGGCGAAGGCGGCGACCUGGGCCAAUAUUGACGCUGAGUGAGCGAAAGCCAGGGGAGCAAACGGG